AGAAAGCACCCUUCGGGGUGUGAGUAGAGUGGCGAACUGGUGAGUACAAGGUGGGUAACGUGCCUCGAUGUACGGGAUAACGUCCGAAAGACGGGUAAUACCGUAUGUGGUUUCAGGUCCUACGGGACUUGUCUCCAAAGGCGCCUUUCGGGGUGUCGCAUCGAGAUCGGCCCGCCCCCCAUUAGCUUGUUGGUGGGGUAACGGCCUACCAAGGCGACAAUGGGUAGGUGGCCUGAGAGGGUGGUCACCCACACUGGGACUGAGAUACGGCCCAGACUCCUACGGGAGGCAGCAGUCUAGAAGCUUCCACAAUGGACGAAAGUCUGAUGGAGCGACGCCGCGUGUGUGAUGAAGCCCUUCGGGGUGUAAAGCACUGUCAGUGGGGAAGAAGGCUCGGGAGGUGUCCCUCUCGAGUUCGACGGUACCCGCAGAGGAAGCGCCGGCUAACUCCGUGCCAGCAGCCGCGGUAAUACGGAGGGCGCGAGCGUUGUUCGGAUUCAUUGGGCGUAAAGAGCGCGUAGGCGGGCGAGUCAGUCCGGUGUGAAAUCUUCACCGCUUAACGGGAAGGAGCCACUGGAUACUGCUCGUCUUGAGGGUGUUAGAGGGAGACGGAAUUCCUGGUGUAGCGGUGGAAUGUUUAGAUAUCAGGAAGAACACCGAUUGCGAAGGCGGUCUCCUGGGGCACUCCUGACGCUGAGGCGCGAAAGCCAGGGGAGCGAACGGGAUUAGAUACCCCGGUAGUCCUGGCCGUAAACGAUGAGCACUAAGUGUGGGGGGGUAUUCGACCCCCCCCGUGCCGAC
rnacentral:rRNA from 1 species